CCUACGGUGGGCAGCAGUGGGGGAUAUUGCACAAUGGGGGAAACCCUGAUGCAGCGACGCCGCGUGAGUGAAGAAGUAUUUCGGUAUGUAAAGCUCUAUCAGCAGGGAAGAAAAUGACAGUACCUGACCAAGAAGCCCCUGCUAACUCCGUGCCAGCAGACACGGUCAUACGUAGGGGGCAAGCGUUAUCCGGAUUUGCUGGGUGUACAGGGAGCGUAGACGGUUAUGUAAGUCUGGAGUGAAAUCCCGGGGCCCAACCCCGGGACUGCUUUGGAAACUGUGUAACUGGAGUACAGGAGGGGCAGGCGGAAUUCCUGGUGUAGCGGGGAAAUGCGUAGAUAUCAGGAGGAACACCGGCGGCGAAGGCGGCCGGCUGGACUGAAACUGACGUUGAGGCUCGAAAGCGUGGGGAGCAAACAGGAUUAGAUACCCUUGUAGUC
rnacentral:rRNA from 1 species